rnacentral:lncRNA from 1 species
GGCGAGCCGACUGCACAGCCGCCUCCAGGGUGGACUGGCACCGCCGGUAACGUGAUUAAGGCCGGCGCUCCGUGACCCGGCAGUUCCCGGCUCAGCAUGCACUGGAGAGAAGGGCUCGUGGGAACGAGGGGCGCCUGCCGCGGAGCUACCUGAGGGAGCGGGAAGGAUCCUCAAUGCCCAUCAGGAAUGGCUUGGCUACUCUGGAGUGUUAGGAGUGAGGACUGCUUGAGCCUGAGAGGUGGAGGCUUCCGUGAGCCAUGAUCACACCACUGCCCUCCAACCUGGGCGACAAAGCAAGACGUCUCAAAAACAAAAAGCCAAAGCUCGAAGUGCCCGGUGGGAAUGUCGGUUGAGCGGGCAAUUACUGAUUCCUACUGAAAUGGCCCGAGUGCCCCUCCCUGGGACGCGUUUGUUGAGUCCUGGCACACAGGCGGACCGUUUAAGGUCACCACACUGCUGUCUGUCAUGGCAAAGGCCUGCAAUCAACGCAGAUGUCCAGGACCAGGGCGUGAGUGGAAUAAAUGAUGUAACCAUGAGGAAGUCUGGCGUGCACAGUGUGGGAAGAACCCCUGAUGUUUGCCCCAUGGACACAGCAAGGUGGAAGAUGGAUGGGUAGCACACCCUAUCUGCAAAAACAAGGGCUAUGACGCACGUUUGAACUGGCUUGAAUAUCCGUUGAAAAGCUAGGAAAAUAACUCAGGAGCCACUGACAGCUAACAGUGGCUGCCUGAUCAGGGAGGCAAAGAAAACAGAUGCAGACAGGUAUGAAAGAGAUUGCUCAUUGAACGGCUUUUUAAACUCCAUGAUGUUUUGAACCAUGUGGACGAAUGCAGUACCUAUAUCCAACAUGCAGAGAAACCUAAUACUGUGUGGAUGACACAGUAUCUACACCCAACGUGCACAGAAACCUAAUACUGUGUGGAUGACGCAGUACCUAUACCCAACAUGCACAGAAACCUCAUACCGUGUGGAUGACGCAGUACCUAUAUCCCAACAUGCACGGAAACCUCAUACCGUGUGGAUGACGCAGUACCUAUACCCAACGUGCACGGAAACCUAACACCGUGUGGAUGACGCAGUACCUAUAUCCAACAUGCAAAGAAACCUAAUACCGUGUGGAUGACGCAGUACCUAUAUCCCAACAUGCACAGAAACCUCAUACCGUGUGGAUGAUGCGGUACCUAUACCCAACGUGCACGGAAACCUAACACUGUGUGGAUGAUGCAGUACCUAUAUCCAACAUGCACAGAAACCUAACACCGUGUGGAUGACGCAGUACCUAUAUCCAACAUGCAGAGAAACCUAAUACCGUGUGGAUGACACAGUACCUAUACCCAACAUGCACGGAAACCUCAUACCGUGUGGAUGACGCAGUACCUAUACCCAACAUGCACGGAAACCUAACACCGUGUGGAUGACGCAGUACCUAUACCCAACACGCACGGAAACCUAACACCGUGUGGAUGACGCAGUACCUAUAUCCAACAUGCAGAGAAACCUAAUACCGUGUGGAUGACACAGUAUCUACACCCAACGUGCACAGAAACCUAAUACCGUGUGGAUGACGCAGUACCUAUACCCAACGUGCACGGAAACCUAACACCGUGUGGAUGACGCAGUACCUAUAUCCAACGUGCACAGAAACCUAACACCGUGUGGAUGACGCAGUACCUAUACCCAACAUGCAGAGAAACCUAAUACCGUGUGGAUGACACAGUACCUAUACCCAACAUGCACGGAAAUCUCAUACCGUGUGGAUGACGCAGUACCUAUACCCAACAUGCACGGAAACCUAACACCGUGUGGAUGACGCAGUACCUAUACCCAACAUGCUCGGAAACCUAACACCGUGUGGAUGACGCAGUACCUAUACCCAACAUGCACGGAAACCUCAUACCGUGUGGAUGACACAGUACCUAUACCCAACACGCACAGAAACCUAACACCGUGUGGAUGACGCAGUACCUAUAUCCAACGUGCAGAGAAACCUAAUACCGUGUGGAUGACACAGUAUCUACACCCAACGUGCACAGAAACCUAAUACCAUGUGGAUGACGCAGUACCUAUACCCAACAUGCACGGAAACCUAACACCGUGUGGAUGACGCAGUACCUAUACCCCAACGUGCACGGAAACCUAAUACCGUGUGGAUGACGCAGUACCUAUAUCCCAACGUGCACGGAAACCUAAUACCGUGUGGAUGACGCAGUACCUAUAUCCCAACAUGCACGGAAACCUGAUACCGUGUGGAUGACGCAGUACCUAUACCCCAACGUGCACAGAAACCUAAUACCGUGUGGAUGACGCAGUAUGUAUAUCCAACGUGCACGGAAACCUAAUACCGUGUGGAUGACGCAGUACCUAUACCCCAACGUGCACAGAAACCUAAUACCGUGUGGAUGACGCGGCACCUAUAUCUCAACAUGCACAGAGACCUAAUACCGUGUGGAAGACGCAGUACCUAUAUCCAACAUGCAUGGACACCUAAUACCAUGUGGAUGACACAGUACCUAUACCCAACAUGCACGGAAACCUAAUACCGUGUGGAUAAUGUAGUACUUAUACCCAACAUGCAAGGAAUCUAGUGUGUGCAGGAAAAACAGACACUGAUGAUGAAAAUCUCAGCAGAGUGUUAGGAGCAAGACGAUCUCAUAGAUUAAUGUGAAAUAAGCAGAGAGGAGAAAGACUGAGGGGGAGCCAGCACAGGACAGGGCUGAGGAGCCCCAGAAUCCUCGUGGGUACCCCUUGCAGCCCCAGCCCAUCCUACCUGUACCGGUGGACCCCACGUCCCAUGGCAGGCUGCAGGCAUCUCUUAGAGAAGGAGAUGGGCCCUGGAAACAGAGCAGUGAGAGGUUCCCCGGUGUGUGCAAGCCCCUCUUCCUGGCUCUGGACCCCCAGUCUCCCCGCCCGGCCCUCUUAGAUGGCUGGAGACUUAGGGGUGGGGAGCACAGCCCUGGCCCUCCCAUUGCUCUCUCACUCUGUAACUAGGCCCCCUGGGUCUGCCGCCCACCUCUGCCGUGGCCUUCCCCGCCUUCUCUCCACCUCGGAAGGUGGUCAGCACAUCCUGCCACCUUGCAAUGGCUGUUCCCCCUGCCUGGAUAACCUUCCCCGCUCUGCUCUCCCAGGCAGCUCCUAUUCACCAGUCAGGGCUCUACCCAAAUGCCGCUUCCUCAGGGAAGGCCUCCGGACCGCCCUACAGAGUGUAUGUCCCCAUGGACAUCCUCACUGCCUCUCUGGUGGACUUACCAAGGCCCUGAUUAAAUCAUUGCCGUAUUUAUUUAGUGUCUGAGGGUAGAAGUCAUGUCUGAAAUGCCACCUCGUCUAAUGUGUCCAGAGGAGGCCGGGCAGAUAGAUGGCGCUUCAUCGUGAGUGAGAUCGUGAGUGAGAGUUAGAGGAGGCCGGGCAGAUAGAUGGCGCUUCAUCGUGAGUGAGAUCGUGAGUGAGAGAUAGAGGAGGCCAGGCAGAUAGAUGGCACUUCAUCGUGAGUGAGAUCGUGAGUGAGAGUUAGAGGAGGCCGGGCAGAUGGCGCUUCAUCGUGAGUGAGAUCGUGAGUGAGAGAUAGAGGAGGCCGGGCAGAUGGCGCUUCAUCGUGAGUGAGAUCGUGAGUGAGAGAUAGAGGAGGCCGGGCAGAUGGCGCUUCAUCGUGAGUGAGAUCGUGAGUGAGAGAUAGAGGAGGCCGGGCAGAUAGAUGGCGCUUCAUCGUGAGUGAGAUCGUGAGUGAGAGAUAGAGGAGGCGGGGCAGAUAGAUGGCGCUUCAUCGUGAGUGAGAUCGUGAGUGAGAGAUAGAGGAGGCCGGGCAGAUAGAUAGCGCUUCAUCGUGAGUGAGAUCGUGAGUGAGAGUUAGAGGAGGCCGGGCAGAUAGAUGGCGCUUCAUCGUGAGUGAGAUCGUGAGUGAGAGUUAGAGGAGGCCGGGCAGAUAGAUGGCGCUUCAUCGUGAGUGAGAUCGUGAGUGAGAGUUAGAGGAGGCCGGGCAGAUGGCGCUUCAUCGUGAGUGAGAUCGUGAGUGAGAGAUAGAGGAGGCCAGGCAGAUAGAUGGCGCUUCAUCGUGAGUGAGAUCGUGAGUGAGAGAUAGAGGAGGCGGGGCAGAUAGAUGGCGCUUCAUCGUGAGUGAGAUCGUGAGUGAGAGAUAGAGGAGGCCGGGCAGAUAGAUGGCGCUUCAUCGUGAGUGAGAUCGUGAGUGAGAGAUAGAGGAGGCCGGGCAGAUAGAUGGCGCUUCAUCGUGAGUGAGAUCGUGAGUGAGAGAUAGAGGAGGCCGGGCAGAUACAUGGCGCUUCAUCGUGAGUGAGAUCGUGAGUGAGAGUUAGAGGAGGCCGGGCAGAUAGAUGGCGCUUCAUCGUGAGUGAGAUCGUGAGUGAGAGUUAGAGGAGGCCGGGCAGAUAGAUGGCGCUUCAUCGUGAGUGAGAUCGUGAGUGAGAGAUAGAGGAGGCGGGGCAGAUAGAUGGCGCUUCAUCGUGAGUGAGAUCGUGAGUGAGAGUUAGAGGAGGCCGGGCAGAUAGAUGGCGCUUCAUCGUGAGUGAGAUCGUGAGUGAGAGAUAGAGGAGGCCGGGCAGAUAGAUGGCGCUUCAUCGUGAGUGAGAUCGUGAGUGAGAGAUAGAGGAGGCCGGGCAGAUAGAUGGCGCUUCAUCGUGAGUGAGAUCGUGAGUGAGAGAUAGAGGAGGCCGGGCAGAUAGAUGGCGCUUCAUCGUGAGUGAGAUCGUGAGUGAGAGAUAGAGGAGGCCGGGCAGAUAGAUGGCGCUUCAUCGUGAGUGAGAUCGUGAGUGAGAGAUAGAGGAGGCCGGGCAGAUAGAUGGCGCUUCAUCGUGAGUGAGAUCGUGAGUGAGAGAUAGAGGAGGCCGGGCAGAUAGAUGGCGCUUCAUCGUGAGUGAGAUCGUGAGUGAGAGAUAGAGGAGGCCGGGCAGAUAGAUGGCGCUUCAUCGUGAGUGAGAUCGUGAGUGAGAGUUAGAGGAGGCCGGGCAGAUAGAUGGCGCUUCAUCGUGAGUGAGAUCGUGAGUGAGAGUUAGAGGAGGCCGGGCAGAUGGCGCUUCAUCGUGAGUGAGAUCGUGAGUGAGAGAUAGAGGAGGCCGGGCAGAUAGAUGGCGCUUCAUCGUGAGUGAGAUCGUGAGUGAGAGAUAGAGGAGGCCAGGCAGAUAGAUGGCGCUUCAUCGUGAGUGAGAUCGUGAGUGAGAGAUAGAGGAGGCGGGGCAGAUAGAUGGCGCUUCAUCGUGAGUGAGAUCGUGAGUGAGAGAUAGAGGAGGCCGGGCAGAUAGAUGGCGCUUCAUCGUGAGUGAGAUCGUGAGUGAGAGAUAGAGGAGGCAGGGCAGAUAGAUGGCGCUUCAUCGUGAGUGAGAUCGUGAGUGAGAGUUAGAGGAGGCCGGGCAGAUAGAUGGCGCUUCAUCGUGAGUGAGAUCGUGAGUGAGAGAUAGAGGAGGCGGGGCAGAUAGAUGGCGCUUCAUCGUGAGUGAGAUCGUGAGUGAGAGUUAGAGGAGGCCGGGCAGAUAGAUGGCGCUUCAUCGUGAGUGAGAUCGUGAGUGAGAGUUAGAGGAGGCCGGGCAGAUGGCGCUUCAUCGUGAGUGAGAUCGUGAGUGAGAGAUAGAGGAGGCCGGGCAGAUAGAUGGCGCUUCAUCGUGAGUGAGAUCGUGAGUGAGAGUUAGAGGAGGCCGGGCAGAUGGCGCUUCAUCGUGAGUGAGAUAGUGAGUGAGAGAUAGAGGAGGCCGGGCAGAUAGAUGGCGCUUCAUCGUGAGUGAGAUAGUGAGUGAGAGAUAGAGGAGGCCGGGCAGAUAGAUGGCGCUUCAUCGUGAGUGAGAUCGUGAGUGAGAGUUAGAGGAGGCCGGGCAGAUAGAUGGCGCUUCAUCGUGAGUGAGAUCGUGAGUGAGAGUUAGAGGAGGCCGGGCAGAUAGAUGGCGCUUCAUCGUGAGUGAGAUCGUGAGUGAGAGUUAGAGGAGGCGGGGCAGAUAGAUGGCGCUUCAUCGUGAGUGAGAUCGUGAGUGAGAGAUAGAGGAGGCGGGGCAGAUAGAUGGCGCUUCAUCGUGAGUGAGAUCGUGAGUGAGAGAUAGAGGAGGCCGGGCAGAUAGAUGGCGCUUCAUCGUGAGUGAGAUCGUGAGUGAGAGAUAGAGGAGGCCGGGCAGAUAGAUGGCGCUUCAUCGUGAGUGAGAUCGUGAGUGAGAGUUAGAGGAGGCCGGGCAGAUAGAUGGCGCUUCAUCGUGAGUGAGAUCGUGAGUGAGAGUUAGAGGAGGCCGGGCAGAUGGCGCUUCAUCGUGAGUGAGAUAGUGAGUGAGAGAUAGAGGAGGCCGGGCAGAUACACGGCGCCCCAUUGUGAGCCUGUGAUUGAGUGAGUGAGUGAGAUCCUGAGUGAGAUCAUGAGUGAGUGAGAUCAUGAGUGAGAUCAUGAGUGAGUGAGAUCAUGAGUGAGUGAGAUCGUGACUGAGAUCAUGAGUCUGUGAGUGAGAUCAUGAGUGAGUGAGAUCAUGAGAUCGUGAGUGAGAUGAUGAGUCUGAGUGAGAUCGUGAGUCUGUGAGUGAGAUAGUGAGUGAGACUGAGUGAGAUCAUGAGUCUGUGAGAUAGUGAGCAAGUGAGUGAGAUCGUGAGUCUGUGAGUGAGUGAAAUCAUGAGUGAGAUCGUGAGCCUGUGAGAUUGUGAGUGAGAUUGUGAGUCUGUGAGUAAGUGAAAUCAUGAGUGAGUGAGUGAGUGAGUCUGAGUGAGAGACCCUCCUCUAGGAUCGAGGAGAACAGGAGCAGAAAGAAGAGCUGGAGGUAGGUCCAGGGAACCAGCAGCUGGGGCAUCCCUGUCCCCAUCCCCCCGAGGGCAGAGGCU